rnacentral:rRNA from 1 species
GACGAACGCUGGCGGCGUGCUUAACACAUGCAAGUCGAACGGAAAGGCCCUGCUUGCAGGGUACUCGAGUGGCGAACGGGUGAGUAACACGUGGGUGAUCUGCCCUGCACUUCGGGAUAAGCCUGGGAAACUGGGUCUAAUACCGGAUAGGAGCCAUUUUUAGUGUGAUGGUUGGAAAGUUUUUUCGGUGUAGGAUGAGCUCGCGGCCUAUCAGCUUGUUGGUGGGGUAAUGGCCUACCAAGGCGGCGACGGGUAGCCGGCCUGGGAGGGUGGACGGCCACAUUGGGACUGGGAUACGGCCCAGACUCCUACGGGAGGCAGCAGUGGGGAAUAUUGCACAAUGGGCGCAAGCCUGAUGCAGCGACGCCGCGUGGGGGAUGACGGCCUUCGGGUUGUAAACUCCUUUCGCUAGGGACGAAGCUUUUUGUGACGGUACCUAGAUAAGAAGCACCGGCUAACUACGUG